rnacentral:snoRNA from 1 species
UGCACAUGAUGCCAUUUUCUCACGAUGGUCUUCCAAGUCUCAUGGUGAAGGGGCUUUGACGACAAUGCCGCAUGGCUUUGCUGAUACCCAGUG